AAACGCCUCGACAAGGCAACAUCAAAAAUUUAGAUUCAAAAAACAAAAAUUCAAAAAUGUUAACACAAAUAAAUUUUUACGAGUCGGGAAGCUAAGAGUGAAGAAAAUUCUAACAGAUGCCAGAUAUAAAAUAGUUGGUAGCGUUUUUUUGUCUGCCCUUAUUUAGUUUUUGUUCAUUUGAUUCUUGCGGCACGAGCAUUGUGGCGCUAUGGUUUGUCGGAGGCAGUCUGCAGUCGCACCAAAGCUUCGGGUUGGCUCUUUGUGGGUGUCAUCCUGUUGGCUGAUCCGUUGCUAUUGAUUCUGGGGGGACACCGUCCAAUUGGCUCCUUGAGAGUGUAGAUAGAGCCAUUCGCUGUCCCCAUUGCAUCCCCGCAUCCCUUCUUUGAUGCAAACAGAUUCUAGGUAAACCUCAAGGCAAUGUCUACGGACUGCAUUAGCAUGGAUCAUUCACAAUAAUGUUUAAAUAAUGUUUGAAAAACCUGCACUGCGAGGACCAAGUUGUUUCGCCGCUUUGAGAACCAAACGGAAGUUGUAUUUCAUCGUUAAACAAAAUUAUGGUACCAAAUCGGAGACAUUAGCGUGGGUUGUCUGCUGCAAGCACCAGGUCACGGCUUCCUCCCAGGAUAAGUAGCAAAGGAUCAGCGAAUAGGAUGAGAAACAUGAACAACGAACCCCAUGCUAUGAUUAAACUGCAGAUUCAAGUUCUCCA